UGCCAGUGACGUCACCGGGCUCCCUGAGCAGCGGAAGAGGAAGCUUUGCUUGCCUGCAAGGGACCCGGUACGUCACUGAGGAGAAGAAAACAGUAACUUCCGGCCAUGAAUUUCAAAGAUGAAAAUGGGGCUGCAGAAAUCUGUGACAAAGGUACUACCUGCUUGUAUGUAAUGUGUAUGCCACACUUGUACUAUUAGAGCAAUGUCCCCAAUCCCGGACAACCCCUUUAACUAAUAAUCAGCA